UACAGGGAUCUAAUUAGGAUUCCAGGCCU
rnacentral:piRNA from 1 species